CAUCUUCUUCCUCUUUCAGCUGGAGGUUUUGAUGGAAGGUGUCCCUUCCUCUUAUCUUUUCCCUGUGGUCGACGUUUUGAAGAUGUGAGGCAGAGCGACCCAGAUGCUCCGGUGGCUCACAACGGGCCAGUGCAGGCGGUGGAUGGAAGAGCUGGAGUCCAAGAAAACGUGAGACUGGAAGGGAUCAGGGACCUAAAUCCUCCAGGAGAUGUCAACGUGUGAAGCAGGGACAUCUGUAGUCUUUAUGUCCAGUCUUCGGCCAGUCUCUAAACUACUAUUUGAGCGAUUCCACCUUCGCAGACUAAUGUCCAAUAUAAUAAUGAAAUCCUGAGAGUCUUGAUGGAAUUGGGGCGCUCCCGUCGUCUUUUUCCCGUCUGGACGCUCAGACAAA